UUCUUUGCUCAGGUUCAGAGGAGGCCGGCCAGUGUGGAGGGGGGAGGUGUGGGAGCUUGCCUGCCUCUGGGCAGGGCAGGAAGCAGAGACUGGAGAGGAAGCACUGUUGAGCUUUAAGCCUCAAGGCCGCCCAUCGUUUUCCAGUAAGGCUCCUCACUCAAAGAGGGCUUCCAGAAGGUGCUGCCCAGAGUCACAGCUCAGAGGAUCUAGAUGGGGCUGAGACUACACCUGUGCCACAGAGCCUGGUUCUAUGUUGACUCUUUAAAUCACACAUGUCCACAGAACAAAACACAUGGAAGUCAGCAUGGCAAAUGGAUGGCACUAGAAGAAACCAUCCUGAUUGAGGUAACCCAGUCUCAAAAAGAGAAACAUGGAGGGGAAAAAAAGAAGGCAAACAUGAACAAAAGGGAGAAAGAAAAAGAAACAAAUUCUGGUCUUUGUAAGCUGCCAGUCCUCUGUGGUUGUAACAGCAGCUUUCAUGCAGGGGAUGCUCUAGCAGAUGUCAGCAAGUAGCCAUCCCCCGCCAUGAUAGACUGCACCCUGAAGCCGUGAGCCGAUACAAACCCUUCCUCCUGGAGUUACUUCUGGUCAGGUGUUGGUGACAAUGAUGCUGUCUAUUCCAUGACAGUGCUAUGAGCAUCAAGAGGACAACGUCUGUAAACUGCGUGGCCCAGAGAAAAUAUUCAAAUAUACAUGAGUAAGUCAUGAAGAUGGAGUGUGUCAGUUACAAGCACACACAUGCAUGAGGAACCUGCUUUAGAAACAGGUGGAUCUCGUGGACUAAAUAAAUAAAUAAAUAAAUAAAUAAAUAAAUAAAUAAAUAAAUAAA